GUACACGCUGUGACUAGCAUAUCAAUAAGCGGAGGAAAAGAAACUAACAAGGAUUCCCCUAGUAACGGCGAGUGAAGCGGGAAGAGCUCAAAUUUGAAAUCUUAAAGGGUUUCCCUUUACGAAUUGUAGUUUAAAGAAGUGUUUUCUGUUGAGGUUUUGGUAAAAGUUCUUUGGAAUAGGACAUCAUAGAGGGUGAGAAUCCCGUAUUCGACCUUUACUUUCAACUUUGUGAUACACUUUCAAAGAGUCGGAUUGUUUGGGAAUGCAGUCCAAAAUGGGUGGUAAAUUUCAUCUAAAGCUAAAUAUUGGCGAGAGACCGAUAGCGAACAAGUACCGUGAGGGAAAGAUGAAAAGAACUUUGAAAAGAGAGUUAAACAGUACGUGAAAUUGUCAAAAGGGAAGCGUUUGACACCAGUGUUGUUUUUCUGAAAAUCAAUUAAAGAACUGUUUAUGCUAAGUUGUUUAGACUUUAUCAGCUAACUGUUUAGUUUUGAGCUUUUCUUUAAUGCACUUUUCAGUUAACAAGUCAACAUCAAUUUCUUUUGCUGUAAAAAAGCUUGAGGAAGGUGGCUUGAGAUUCGUCUUAAGUGUUUAUAGCCUCUUGCCUAUGCAGUCGGAGAGAUUGAGGUCUGCAGCGUAGAUCCUUCGGGGCUAAAUGCAUUUGUGCUAAGUUAUAGCAUUUUAUAGACAACUUGUUGACUAUGAUUUGUCUUGUAGCUUACUCGCUUAUGUUAUUUUACCUACGCUUAGGAUGUUGACAGCAGUAUAGACUGU
rnacentral:rRNA from 1 species